GACGAACGCUGGCGGCGUGCCUAAUACAUGCCAGUUGAGCGCUGAAGGUUGGUACUUGUACCAACUGGAUGAGCAGCAAACGGGUGAGUAACGCGUGGGGAAUCUGCCUUUGAGCGGGGGACAACAUUUGGAAACGAAUGCUAAUACCGCAUAAAAACUUUAAACACAAGUUCUAAGUUUGAAAGAUGCAAUUGCAUCACUCAAAGAUGAUCCCGCGUUGUAUUAGCUAGUUGGUGAGGUAAAGGCUCACCAAGGCGAUGAUACAUAGCCGACCUGAGAGGGUGAUCGGCCACAUUGGGACUGAGACACGGCCCAAAGGCCUACGGGAGGCAGCAGUAGGGAAUCUUCGGCAAUGGACGAAAGUCUGACCGAGCAACGCCGCGUGAGUGAAGAAGGUUUUCGGAUCGUAAAACUCUGUUGGUAGAGAAGAACGUUGGUGAGAGUGGAAAGCUCAUCAAGUGACGGUAACUACCCAGAAAGGGACGGCUAACUACGUG
rnacentral:rRNA from 1 species